AGUGAACGCUGGCGGUAGGCCUAACACAUGCAAGUCGAACGGCAGCACAGUAAGAGCUUGCUCUUACGGGUGGCGAGUGGCGGACGGGUGAGGAAUACAUCGGAAUCUACUUUUUCGUGGGGGAUAACGUAGGGAAACUUACGCUAAUACCGCAUACGACCUACGGGUGAAAGCAGGGGAUCUUCGGACCUUGCGCGAUUGAAUUAGCCGAUGUCGGAUUAGCGAGCUGGCGGGGUAAAGGCCCAGCAAGGCGACGAUCCGUAGCUGGUCUGAGAGGAUGAUCGGCAACACUGGAGAUGAGAUAAGGGCCAAACUCGGACGUGAGGCACGAGCGGGAAACAUACGAGAAUGAGCGGAAGCGUAAACCACACAUACGGGGAAAGUGAAGAAGGCCUUCGGGUUGUAAAGCAAUUUUGUUGGGAAAGAAAAGAAGCAGAUUAACACCGCGCUGUACGACCGGUACCAAGAAAAUAAGCACCGGUAACUUUGUU
rnacentral:rRNA from 1 species